rnacentral:rRNA from 1 species
UACAGAGGGUGCAAGCGUUAAUCGGAAUUACUGGGCGUAAAGGGCGCGUAGGCGGUGAGAUGUGUGGGAUGUGAAAGCCCUGGGCUUAACCUAGGAAGUGCAUACCAAACUAUCUGACUGGAGUAUAAGAGAGGGUGGCGGAAUUUCCGGUGUAGCGGUGAAAUGCGUAGAGAUCGGAAAGAACGUCGAUGGCGAAGGCAGCCACCUGGCUUAAUACUGACGCUGAGGCGCGAAAGCGUGGGGAGCAAACAGG